rnacentral:rRNA from 1 species
CAGCCGCCGCGGUAAUACCGGCGGCCCGAGUGGCGGUCACUAUUAUUGGGCUUAAAGCGUCCGUAACCGGGUUGGGAAGUCCUCCGGGAAAUCUGGCCGCUUAACGGUCAGAAUGCCGGAGGAUACUCCCAGCCUAGGGAGCGGGAGAGGCCGAGGGUAUUCCCGGAGUAGGGGUGAAAUCCUAUAAUCCCGGGAGGACCACCUGUGGCGAAGGCGCUCGGCUGGAACGCGUCCGACGGUGAGGGACGAAGGCCAGGGGAGCAAACCGGAUUAGAUACCCGGGUAGUCCUGGCGGUAAACGAUGCGGACUUUGUGUCGGACAAGCUAUGAGCUUGUCCGGUGCCGGAGGGAAACCGUUAAGUCCGCCGCCUGGGGAGUACGGCCGCAAGGCUGAAACUUAAAGGAAUUGGCGGG